UACGAAGGGAGCUAGCGUUGUUCGGAAUUACUGGGCGUAAAGGGCGCGUAGGCGGACAUCUAAGUCAGGGGUGAAAUCCCAGGGCUCAACCCUGGAAUUGCCUUUGAUACUGGCUGUCUUGAGUUCGGGAGAGGUGAGUGGAAUUCCGAGUGUAGAGGUGAAAUUCGUAGAUAUUCGGAGGAACACCAGAAGCGAAGGCGGCUCACUGGCCCGAUACUGACGCUGAGGCGCGAAAGCGUGGGGAGCAAACAGG
rnacentral:rRNA from 1 species